CAGCCGCCACGGUAAUACAGAGGCCUCAAGCGUUGUUCGGAUUCAUUGGGCGUAAGGGGAGCGUAGGCGGUCGGGUAAGUCGGAUGUGAAAUCCUGAGGCUCAACCUCAGAACUGCAUUCAAUACUGCUCGGCUAGAGUAUUGGAGAGGUGAGUGGAAUUCACGGUGUAGCAGUGAAAUGCGUAGAUAUCGUGAGGAAGACCAGCGGCGAAGGCGGCUCACUGGACAAUUACUGACGCUGAUGCUCGAAGGCCAGGGGAGCAAACGGGAUUAGAUACCCCCGUAGUCCCUGUCUCUUAUAC
rnacentral:rRNA from 1 species